UCAAAAGGUUGAGAUUAAUUUCUGAUCUCUGAUAUUAACCUUCCAUAUUAUCUAAGUAUUAUAAAAGAUUUGUGUCCCCUAGAAUCAAAAACAAUCUAUUCCACUUUUUGUGAAAAAUGAGUUAGAAACGCAGUUUAUCUCAAUUUUUCAACCUCUUUCUUUGAGUGUGGUUGAGCACUUUCAAAGUCAACUUGUUCCAGAGUUAUACUUUAUAGAAAUAUUACAGUUUGAAUCAAAACGAAUGUAUUCCUCAUUCUUCACAUUCGUUGAGAAUCAAAACAACACUAUUCCUGAUAUGAAGCAAAUAAUUCUUCUGCUAAGUUUCAAAACAAAACUAUUCCUAUGCAUGACUUUCAAAACACUUCUAUUCCAAAAUUAAUUAUUAAAUAUUUUCGGAACCCGUUGGGUGACAAAGGAAAGCACAGUCAGUUUAAAAUCAAAAGUACAUGUUUAAUUCGAUUCAGAAGAACGUUUUUUUUUUUAAAUAAUUCAAUAAAAGAAAAAGUGGAAUAGAUUGUUUUUGAUUCUAGGGGACAAAAUUAAAUCUUACUGUACAAACAGUUAUUAUUAUUA